rnacentral:rRNA from 1 species
CCCUUAGAUGUUCUGGGCCGCACGCGCGCUACACUGGUCGAUGCAACGAGUUUCUUUCCUUGGCCGACAGGCCUGGGCAAUCUUUGAACAUCGAUCGUGAUCGGGAUAGAUUCUUGUAAUUUUUGAUCUUAAACGAGGAAUUCCUAGUAAACGCAAGUCAUCAGCUUGCAUUGAUUACGACCCUGCCCUUUGUACACACCGCCCGUCGCACCUACCGAUUGAAUGGUCCGGUGAAAUCUCCGGACUGGCGUGAGUCGGAGCAAUCUGACAAACACCGGAAAGUUGAUUAAACCUUACCAUUUAGAGGAAGGUGAAGUCGUAACA